rnacentral:rRNA from 1 species
GACGAACGUUGGCGGCGUGCUUAACACAUGCAAGUCGAACGGAAAGGCCCUGCUUUUGUGGGGUGCUCGAGUGGCGAACGGGUGAGUAACACGUGAGUAACCUGCCCUUGACUUUGGGAUAACUUCAGGAAACUGGGGCUAAUACCGGAUAGGAGCUCCUGCUGCAUGGUGGGGGUUGGAAAGUUUCGGCGGUUGGGGAUGGACUCGCGGCUUAUCAGCUUGUUGGUGGGGUAGUGGCUUACCAAGGCUUUGACGGGUAGCCGGCCUGAGAGGGUGACCGGCCACAUUGGGACUGAGAUACGGCCCAGACUCCUACGGGAGGCAGCAGUGGGGAAUAUUGCACAAUGGGCGGAAGCCUGAUGCAGCAACGCCGCGUGCGGGAUGACGGCCUUCGGGUUGUAAACCGCUUUCGCCUGUGACGAAGCGUGAGUGACGGUAAUGGGUAAAGAAGCACCGGCUAACUACGUGCCAGCAGCCGCGGUGAUACGUAGGGUGCGAGCGUUGUCCGGAUUUAUUGGGCGUAAAGGGCUCGUAGGUGGUUGAUCGCGUCGGAAGUGUAAUCUUGGGGCUUAACCCUGAGCGUGCUUUCGAUACGGGUUGACUUGAGGAAGGUAGGGGAGAAUGGAAUUCCUGGUGGAGCGGUGGAAUGCGCAGAUAUCAGGAGGAACACCAGUGGCGAAGGCGGUUCUCUGGGCCUUUCCUGACGCUGAGGAGGGAAAGCGUGGGGAGCGAACAGGCUUAGAUACCCUGGUAGUCCACGCUGUAAACGGUGGGUACUAGGUGUGGGGUCCAUUCCACGGGUUCCGUGCCGUAGCUAACGCUUUAAGUACCCCGCCUGGGGAGUACGGCCGCAAGGCUAAAACUCAAAGGAAUUGACGGGGCCCCGCACAAGCGGCGGAGCAUGCGGAUUAAUUCGAUGCAACGCGUAGAACCUUACCUGGGUUUGACAUGGAUCGGGAGUGCUCAGAGAUGGGUGUGCCUCUUUUGGGGUCGGUUCACAGGUGGUGCAUGGCUGUCGUCAGCUCGUGUCGUGAGAUGUUGGGUUAAGUCCCGCAACGAGCGCAACCCUUGUUCACUGUUGCCAGCACGUUAUGGUGGGGACUCAGUGGAGACCGCCGGGGUCAACUCGGAGGAAGGUGGGGAUGACGUCAAGUCAUCAUGCCCCUUAUGUCCAGGGCUUCACGCAUGCUACAAUGGCUGGUACAGAGAGUGGCGAGCCUGUGAGGGUGAGCGAAUCUCGGAAAGCCGGUCUCAGUUCGGAUUGGGGUCUGCAACUCGACCUCAUGAAGUCGGAGUCGCUAGUAAUCGCAGAUCAGCAACGCUGCGGUGAAUACGUUCCCGGG